UAUUGUAUUAGGCUUUUACACACUUGUGAUGUUUAUAUAUUGUUAAUUUCGGGGGAGACAAAUAUAUAUGUUUGUUGAUGUGGAUAAAGCGGUGUAAUCCAUAAAAAAUAAUAGUAAAUGGUUAGUUAAAUUUUGAUAGGAACGUAAGGUAAUUUCUACUAAUGGUUAGAGCGGUUCAAUCUAAAUUACUCCAAAACUAGGGCAUCAACACAUGCGGACAAGUUUAAAUUUAGGCGUUCAAAGCGAUCCGACCAACCAAAUGCACUAAAUUAAAAAGCCUCGACCAUUCAAAGAAUCAAAGUCUUAACUACCAAAUAUACACAUAGCAUAUGUCCAUACAAACAAAUAUUAUAUGUGUGCGCCUACCUAGCUAUAUGCGAAAGUUGUAUAUUAUUAAUAUGUCAUUAAAUUGGUUCGCCAACCGAUCAUAUAUAGAACAAUACCGUUGGAUGAUGAUUGACGACCAUCAUAACGUUGUAUAAUUGUUGUUGUCAAUGUCAAUCAUGAUCAGUUCUUGCGGCUGCUGCUCUUCUGCAGCUAAUUAUACUCCUCCAUCUUGGUUAAUCGCAUCAUAUGAAUAACUAAACUAAUAUUCUUCAUCUUGAAACCGGAUGGCUAGGCAAAGAAGAGAUUAGCCUCUACCGCUCAGCAAAGCUCUCACGUUUACUAGUCUUUGAGUGUUUGUAUGGGAUUAAAGUUGGAGGUCUCUGAGAGGGUAUUAGAAGGAGUCUUUUUUUUACUGGUUGAGUUUCCUUGUUCUAGGUUUGCUAGAGCGAAGAAAGCUAGGCAAGUUGUUAGUGAAACAAUGAGGUUGUCCCCUAUCAGGUCCGGUUUUGACCACAUACUCAAGAAACAUUAGUUCGGGGGCCUACAAUUUUAAUACACUCUAAAGCCUACAAUUUAUAUAAGAAUGAAUCAUAAUCAAGUAUGUAAUAUAAUGAAUUUUGAAUAUUUUUCCUUACUUUAUAUAAAAAGAUUAAAAAUGAUAACGUUUAGAAUUGAUAAACUCUUAUUAUUCUUAAUGAUAUUCAAAAUUUUAAUUUUGACUUUUAGCAAUUAAAUAUUUUAAUUAUCUUUUAGAGCCUAUAUUUUCUUUGUAUGACCUGAAAUAUCUCAGGACCGGCAUUGCACUCAUGGCAUCUCUCUAGAUCCUUUCAAGAAAUACUAAUAACAUGGUUUACGGUCUGCAGUACUUUGGACAACUUAUGGAACUCUUUACAAUCCUGAAAUAUUUCAAGAUCCAAUGAGUUUUGCAAGCAUACACAUAUCUUUCAUUUGGAAGAGGACCAAGGCUUUGUGCUGGUCACCAACUAGCCAAAGCCAGUACUUGUUCUCUUGCAUUUCGUUGUGACAUGUUUUACAAUUGGUCCUUUGUCUAUCCAGAUGAGACAGUCAGUAUGGUUCCUCUCCCGUUUCUGUCCCUCGGAACGCCUAUCAAAAUCUCUCCCAAGGGAUCAUAGAACAGAGAAAUGACUAUGCCUUGGCCUGUAUGUAUGCAACAUUUAAAAUGUACCACAUUACUGGGAUAGAAAAGUAACAAUUGAGACUAGAGAUGCCUUUGGGGUUUUAUAGGCCCAGGCCAAGAGAUAUUAAGCCCAAAUAAGAACAUAGCUAAGGACAAAUUGUAUCGGGUCUUACUCUUGUAGGCUUGUAGACAUGUAGGAUGCGAUUAGUAGUAAUAAACAAAUACUGCAUCAAUGAGUUUUUUAGCGAAGGACUAAAAGUUUAACACUAAUGAUUUACAACUAAUUUUGUCGUUUAUGAUUUAUUACAACUUACUUAAAAUAUCCAUGAUUCAAGUGUCUUAAAGAGUUUUAACUAUAGUUACACUAGUAUUUAUUACUUCAUUUAAUACUAGCUAGAUGAGUAGUUUUUUUCAAAUAUUGAUUACUAAGUUUUUUUUUUUUGAUCAAAAAUAUUGAUUACUAAGUUGAACACUUAAUUUUGACCUGCUCGUAUAUAAGUCGAAAAUCCUAGUACUUUUUGUAUUGUAAUUUGGAUAUUUAAGUUGGUAAGAAGAGUGAUAGCUUCCGGCUCAAUGUAUGAAAUAAAACUUGUUUUAGGCAUAUUAUUAUCUUACAAAAAAUUAUAGCGCGAGAAUGAUUUUAUGAACUGCGCAUAUAUAUAAUUAGUUACAGCCUUACAGGACUAUAGAAUUGUGUAAUGUAUGU